rnacentral:rRNA from 1 species
AUUGAACGCUGGCGGCAGGCCUAACACAUGCAAGUCGAGCGAGUGGCGGACGGGUGAGUAAUGUCUGGGAAACUGCCUGAUGGAGGGGGAUAACUACUGGAAACGGUAGCUAAUACCGCAUACCAUCGGAUGUGCCCAGAUGGGAUUAGCUAGUAGGCGGGGUAACGGCUCACCUAGGCGACGAUCCCUAGCUGGUCUGAGAGGCUGACCAGCCACACUGGAACUGAGACACGGUCCAGACUCCUACGGGAGGCAGCAGUGGGGAAUAUUGCACAAUGGGCGCAAGCCUGAUGCAGCAAUGCCGCGUGUGUGAAGAAGGCCUUCGGGUUGUAAAGCACUUUCAGCGAGGAGGCGUUACUCGCAGAAGAAGCACCGGCUAACUCCGUGCCAGCAGCCGCGGUAAUUC